AUAGUUCAUACAUUUUGGGAAAAACCUUCUUGAAUGUCGAAUCCAAGUCUGACAUUGGUCAGCAGUGAUGUCAUCAGAAGCCUCAUCCACACUAUUGUAUUGACACACUGUAAUCAUUGCAGUGGUCCUUUAUUUCAAUGAUGGUUUGAGCACUACUGUAAAUUACCAACACUAAGGUUGUGGGUUCAAUCCCGCCAAGGUCACAUAUAAAUCUCACACCUUAGGGUGGUGAUUGGGAAGUUUUGGCAUUGGACUAUAAUAGG